rnacentral:rRNA from 1 species
UACGUAGGGUGCAAGCGUUGUCCGGAAUUAUUGGGCGUAAAGAGCUCGUAGGCGGUCUGUCGCGUCGGCUGUGAAAUCCCGAGGCUCAACCUCGGGUCUGCAGUCGAUACGGGCAAACUGGAGUGUUGCAGGGGAGACUGGAAUUCCUGGUGUAGCGGUGAAAUGCGCAGAUAUCAGGAGGAACACCGGUGGCGAAGGCGGCAUCCUGGACCGGCAUUGACGCUGAGGAGCGAAAGCCAGGGGAGCAAACGGG